rnacentral:rRNA from 1 species
GACGUAGGGCGCGAGCGUUGUCCGGAUUUAUUGGGCGUAAAGAGCUCGUAGGCGGCUUGUCGCGUCGACUGUGAAAACCCGCGGCUCAACUGUGGGCUUGCAGUCGAUACGGGCAGGCUGGAGUUCGGUAGGGGAGACUGGAAUUCCUGGUGUAGCGGUGAAAUGCGCAGAUAUCAGGAGGAACACCGGUGGCGAAGGCGGCAUCCUGGACCAACACUGACACUGAGGAGCGAAAGCCCAGGGGAGCAAACGGG